rnacentral:rRNA from 1 species
CUACGGGCGGCACCAGUGAGGAAUAUUGCACAAUGGGGGGAACCCUGAUGCAGCAACGCCGCGUGGAGGAUGACGCAUUUCGGUGUGUAAACUCCUUUUAUAUGUCAAGAAAAUGACGGUAGCAUAUGAAUAAGCACCGGCUAACUCCGUGCCAGCAGCCGCGGUAAUACGGAGGGUGCAAGCGUUACUCGGAAUCACUGGCGUAAAGGACGCGUAGGCGGGCUUGUAAGUCAGGUGUGAAAUCCUACAGCUUAACUGUAGAACUGCACUUGAAACUACGAGCCUAGAGUAUGGGAGGGGGAGAUGGAAUUAGUGGUGUAGGGGUAAAAUCCGUAGAUAUCACUAGGAAUACCUAAAGCGAAGGCGAUCUCCUGGAACAUAACUGACGCUAAGGCGUGAAAGCGUGGGGAGCAAACAGGAUUAGAUACCCUAGUAGUC